CUCAAGUGUGUUAGAAACCUGAGAGGACUCUUAAUUCUGCAGGGUUGCAGGACAAGUCAUUGCGUGUUGAUUGCCUGUCUGCCGGAUGAGUUCUGUCGGAUGUCAGGAUUUGAGGAGCUCUAUGGGAAAAGGACGCGUGGACGUGAGCCCAUCGCCGGGGUCCAGACUGUAGCCUGUGAUAGCGUCAUAUCACAAGUCAACAUGCUGCAAACGUGGCGCACCACAGAGGAGGCUCUGGCACCUCCUUAAAGAGCUGUUUUUACUGCACACACACGCUCUCACAUGUUGGCUGGUGGACUGGUGUUACGUUGAUGCCUCCACCGGUGUCUGACAGAACAUAUGCUUGCUCUCAGGGAAAAAAAAGACAUCUCUUCAUGGAUAGCUGUGCGUGAAAUAGUGUCCCUGGGUAAAUCCUUGUUAUAAAUUACAUCUUGUAUUGUUUGCUGGAUUUUUUUUUUUUUUUAUCUUCUCCUGGGAUGACAUAUUCUCUGCUCUGUCUACUGCAAAACUGCCGGUGUCAUACCUGCCCUUGUAUGUGAGCCACAUGUGGCCUAAAGUGUGUAGGUUUUUCAUCAUGUUAUGGUGCAUUUACCGCCGCAGUUAAAAUGUGUCAAAGUCAGAUGAAAAAUGGUAUCAACCAUAUGUUGUCUUUCAGAGAUUGAAAUAAAGCGCCUUGUUUUCAGCUUGACCGACAUGCA